AUGAAUCAUGAUAAUUCUGGUAUGGUCUGUUUCCUCCAAACGUGUUUGUAGCAAAAGCUUGAGAUGGGUUUUGCACAGUAGUUUCCAUCAAGCUUGGACAUUCAUCAGUGUAGUGAUCAGUUGAAAAGCAAAUUCCACACCUUUUAGCAAUUUGUUGAGUGGAGGUUUUAAACAAACUUGCGAUCUUGUCGAGUUUGCUUUCUAAAUUAUUCAAUCUUUCAUCUAUC
rnacentral:lncRNA from 1 species